AUUGAACGCUGGCGGCAUGCCUUACACAUGCAAGUCGAACGGCAGCAUGAUCUAGCUUGCUAGAUUGAUGGCGAGUGGCGAACGGGUGAGUAAUACAUCGGAACGUGCCCUGUAGUGGGGGAUAACUAGUCGAAAGAUUAGCUAAUACCGCAUACGACCUGAGGGUGAAAGUGGGGGACCGCAAGGCCUCAUGCUAUAGGAGCGGCCGAUGUCUGAGUAGCUAGUUGGUGGGGUAAAGGCCCACCAAGGCGACGAUCAGUAGCUGGUCUGAGAGGACGAUCAGCCACACUGGGACUGAGACACGGCCCAGACUCCUACGGGAGGCAGCAGUGGGGAAUUUUGGACAAUGGGGGCAACCCUGAUCCAGCAAUGCCGCGUGUGUGAAGAAGGCCUUCGGGUUGUAAAGCACUUUUGUCCGGAAAGAAAUCGCACUUACUGAUAUGAGGUGUGGAUGACGGUACCGGAAGAAUAAGGACCGGCUAACUACGUG
rnacentral:rRNA from 1 species